GAUGGUGGCUCAGUGGGUAGAGCAUCUGCUUUGCAUGCAGAUGUCCCCCAGCAGGUGCAAUCGCUGGCAGCAUCU